AGCGGAAGCGGGAGCCGGCAGCUGCGGCACCAGGUCCCACAGCAUGGCGGGGGCGGGGCUGGGGGAGGCGCGCGCCGAGGAGGCCGGGGAGUCCCUCGCCCCGGCCCUUUGAUCCCGGACCGGACAGAGAUGUGAUAAUGGAUCAUCAUGUUUCCACCAUCAAACCUCGAAGAAUCCAAAACCAAAAUGUCAUUCACCGCCUGGAACGCCGGCGGAUCAGUUCAGGCAAGGCAGGCACCCACUGGCACCAGGUCCGAGUGUUCCACCAGAAUGUCUUCCCCAACUUCACGGUCGUCAAUGUUGAAAAGCCGCCUUGUUUCUUGCGUAAAUUCUCACCUGAUGGACGCUACUUCAUUGCUUUCUCUUCAGACCAGACAUCUCUUGAAAUCUAUGAGUACCAGGGCUGCCAGGCAGCCGAGGACCUACUGCAGGGCUAUGAGGGGGAGAUCCUGUCCAAUGGCAAUGACCAGCGGUCAGUCAACAUCCGUGGCCGGCUCUUCGAACGCUUUUUCGUCCUGCUGCACAUUACCAAUGUGGCGGCCAAUGGCGAGCACCUGAACCGGGAGUGCAGCCUCUUCACUGAUGACUGCCGCUGUGUCAUCGUGGGCUCAGCUGCCUAUCUCCCAGACGAGCCUCACCCUCCUUUUUAUGAGGUAUAUCGGAACAGUGAGUCCGUGACCCCCAACCCCCGGUCCCCCCUGGAGGACUACUCCCUCCAUAUCAUUGACCUUCAUACUGGCCGCUUAUGUGAUACACGUACCUUCAAGUGUGACAAAGUGGUCCUGUCACACAACCAAGGGUUGUACUUGUAUAAGAACAUCCUGGCCAUCUUGUCAGUGCAGCAGCAGACCAUCCAUGUCUUCCAGGUGACUCCUGAAGGCACUUUCAUUGAUGUGAGGACCAUUGGCCGCUUCUGCUAUGAGGAUGACCUGCUCACUGUGUCAGCUGUUUUUCCUGAGGUGCAGCGGGACAGUCAGACAGGCAUGGCCAAUCCUUUCAGGGAUCCCUUCAUCAACUCCCUGAAACACCGGCUGCUCGUGUACCUUUGGCGCCGGGCAGAGCAGGAUGGUAGUGCAAUGGCGAAGAGGCGCUUCUUCCAGUAUUUUGACCAACUACGGCAGCUGCGCAUGUGGAAAAUGCAGCUUCUGGAUGAAAACCAUCUGUUUAUCAAGUAUACUAGUGAGGAUGUCGUAACCCUGCGGGUCACAGAUCCAUCACAGGCAUCUUUCUUUGUGGUGUACAAUAUGGUGACAACAGAGGUGAUCGCUGUGUUUGAGAAUACAUCAGAUGAGCUUUUGGAGCUGUUUGAGAACUUCUGUGAUCUCUUCCGUAACGCUACCCUGCAUAGUGAAGUCCAGUUUCCCUGCUCAGCCUCCAGCAACAAUUUUGCAAGGCAGAUCCAGCGCCGGUUUAAAGACACUAUUGUAAACGCCAAGUAUGGCGGGCACACGGAGGCAGUACGCCGGCUGCUGGGUCAGCUCCCCAUCAGCGCCCAGUCUUACAGUGGCAGCCCUUACCUUGAUUUGUCUCUCUUCAGCUACGAUGACAAGUGGGUGUCAGUCAUGGAGCGGCCCAAGACUUGUGGAGAUCACCCUAUCAGAUAAGGAUUCAAGCACAGAGAGACUAAGUAACUUGCCAAAGGUCACAAAGCUGGAGCCAGAAUUCAAAUGGACUUCAGAGUCUGCAGCUCAGCCCCCUGCACCCCCCGCAUGUGACCUCCAACUCCUUCCUGCUUCCUCACUGCCCGCUGAUGACCUUCACAGAGAAAUAGAAGCAAUCAGAGGCUCUUCCAGCUCCCACUACCAAACAUCUGUGCCCACAGUCUCUGCCUUCUCUCCUGUUAUGAUGCUCCACUUGUGUGUUAGCCCCUCAAGGACAGCAGUCCGGCAUCCUCAUUCUUUCCCCUCUCUACUGCAUCAUUCCCAUCAGCAAAACAUGUGGUCAUUUCCCCAACCUAAAAACAAACAAAAACCUCUUGAUCCUAAAGCCUCCUUUAGCACCUGCCCAUUUCUAUAUUCCCUCUCAAAGAAAUGACCAUACCUGCUGUUUCUUCCUGUCUUCUAUUCUCCUUGAACCCAUGCCACUCAGACCUUAGCCCCUCAUACCUCCACCAAAAAUGCUCUAGUCAAGGUCACCAACCAACUCACAAUGUUAAGUCCAAUAAGCAAUUCUGUCAUCAGUCUAUGGACCUAUCAUAUCAGUAGCAUUUGAUAUAGCUAAUCUCUCUGCCUUUGAACCACAUUAAAAAAAAAACAGAACCCUCCAGGUUUUCUUAGUACUUCUCUGGAGGUUUCUUCUUUCUCUUUUGCUGAUCUUUCCUCAUCUCCCAAAUCUCUAAAUGCCAGAGGCUCCAGGGUUCUGUCCUUGGACCUCUUCUUCUCUUUGUUUACCCUUUCUCUCUUGAUGAUCUUGUAUCUUAUGGUUUUAAAUAUCAUCUAGGGACUUCCCUGGUGG